rnacentral:rRNA from 1 species
GAUGAACGCUGGCGGCGUGCUUAACACAUGCAAGUCGAACGGUGAAGGAGGAGCUUGCUCCUUUGGAUCAGUGGCGAACGGGUGAGUAACACGUGAGUAACCUGCCCCAGACUCUGGGAUAAGCACUGGAAACGGUGUCUAAUACCGGAUACGAGCUUCAGCCGCAUGGCUAGGAGCUGGAAAGAAUUUCGGUCUGGGAUGGACUCGCGGCCUAUCAGCUAGUUGGUGAGGUAAUGGCUCACCAAGGCGACGACGGGUAGCCGGCCUGAGAGGGUGACCGGCCACACUGGGACUGAGACACGGCCCAGACUCCUACGGGAGGCAGCAGUGGGGAAUAUUGCACAAUGGGCGCAAGCCUGAUGCAGCAACGCCGCGUGA